GUGUCAGCAGCCGCGGUAAUACGGAGGGGGCCAGCGUUGUUCGGAAUUAUUGGGCGUAAAGGGCGCGUAGGCGGCUUGGCAAGUCAGUUGUGAAAUCCCUCGGCUCAACCGAGGAACUGCGACUGAUACUGCCGGGCUCGAGUCCCGGAGAGGGUAGCGGAAUUCCCAGUGUAGCGGUGAAAUGCGUAGAUAUUGGGAGGAACAUCGGUGGCGAAGGCGGCUACCUGGACGGGUACUGACGCUGAGGCGCGAAAGCUAGGGGAGCAAACAGGAUUAGAAACCCCAGUAGUCC
rnacentral:rRNA from 1 species